rnacentral:misc_RNA from 1 species
AUAAAUGCAUUCAUAUCAAAUAACAAUAAGUGUGUUAGAAAAUUACAAGCAGUAAUUGAAAAUCCAACAGCAUGAAUGAAGAUAGGAAUUAAAAAAAAAGGGUUUCUCAAUUCAACCAAGCCUUAAUCUCAAUCUGGAGCCAACAAGGAAAAAUAAAAAACAGAGAACAUCAAGAGAGAUGAGAGAGUUUGGGACUACGUUUGAUAAAUUAGAAUUUUCCUUUCUCCCUCUCUCCCACGCACACAGAGGGACACCAUAGUUCCCAAAAAAACCAGAGUUUGGGACUAUGUCUGAUCAAUUAGAAUUUUCCUUUCUCCCUCUCUCCCACGCACACAGAGGGACACCAUAGUUCCCAAAAAAACCAGAGUUUGGGACUAUGUCUGAUC